rnacentral:rRNA from 1 species
GUGGGGAAUAUUGGGCAAUGGGGGAAACCCUGACCCAGCGACGCCGCGUGAGGGAAGACGGCCUUCGGGUUGUAAACCUCUUUUGUACGGGAAGAAGGAAGUGACGGUACUGUACGAAUAAGUCCCGGCUAACUACGUGCCAGCAGCCGCGGUAAUACGUAGGGGACGAGCGUUGUCCGGAAUUACUGGGCGUAAAGGGCGCGCAGGCUGUGCUGCAAGUCAGCUGUGAAAUGUCUGGGCUUAACCCGGGCAUGCGGUUGAGACUGCAGUGCUGGAGUGCUGUAGAGGCAAGUGGAAUUCCCAGUGUAGCGGUGAAAUGCGUAGAUAUUGGGAAGAACACCGGUGGCGAAGGUGACUUGCUGGGCAGCAACUGACGCUGAGGCGCGAAAGCCAGGGGAGCAAACGGGAUUAGAAACCCGGGUAGUCC